rfam:Stegodyphus mimosarum contig128285, whole genome shotgun sequence.
GCCUUCGUGGAGUAACGGUAGCACACUCGGCGCGUAUUCGAGAGAUCCAGGUUCGAGUCCCGGCGAUGGCA